UUAUUUGGUUUAUUAUUUGUGUAGCAUAUAAGUGCCUAAAGCACCAGUUAAAUUUUUGAGCUUCAGGGAAGUUAAACACAGUAAAUUAUGUUACAAUACCACAUCCAAAAUCUUCGCGUCUCUUACUUGACUUUGUAUCAAAAGCCCCAUCUAUGGAGGAACUGUUCAACUGAUUUGGUCCUCUUGUAAGCUUUGGUAAAGUAUAACAGGACUGUUUUAUGAGCGAAGUGUACGGAGACGUAAGAGUGUGAAAAAAUUGGGGGUUAAAAAAAUGGAUUUAGAAUUUGUUGUGGAAAAGCUUCAACAGAUGGCACCACUUCAUUUGGCUGAGUUGUGGGACAAUGUUGGACUUUUAGUUGAACCAUCAGAACCAUUAC